rnacentral:rRNA from 1 species
UACGGAGGGGGCUAGCGUUGUUCGGAAUUACUGGGCGUAAAGGGCGCGUAGGCGGCUUUGUAAGUCGGGGGUGAAAGCCUGUGGCUCAACCACAGAAUUGCCUUCGAUACUGCAUGGCUUGAGACCGGAAGAGGUAAGUGGAACUGCGAGUGUAGAGGUGAAAUUCGUAGAUAUUCGCAAGAACACCAGUGGCGAAGGCGGCUUACUGGUCCGGUUCUGACGCUGAGGCGCGAAGGCGUGGGGAGCAAACAGG